rnacentral:rRNA from 1 species
UACGUAGGGGGCAAGCGUUGUCCGGAAUUAUUGGGCGUAAAGAGCGUGUAGGCGGUCCGGUAAGUCAGCUGUGAAAGUCAAGGGCUCAACCCUUGAAUGCCGGUUGAUACUGUCGGGCUAGAGUCCGGAAGAGGCGAGUGGAAUUCCCGGUGUAGCGGUGAAAUGCGUAGAGAUCCGGAGGAACACCAGUGGCGAAGGCGACACGCUGGGCCGUACCUGACACUGAUGCGCGACAGCAUGGGGAGCAAACAGG